GUAGGUGGCAAGCGUUGUCCGGAAUUAUUGGGCGUAAAGCGCGCGCAGGCGGUUCUUUAAGUCUGAUGUGAAAGCCCACGGCUCAACCGCGGAGGGUCAUUGGAAACUGGAGAACUUGAGUACAGAAGAGGAAAGCGGAAUUCCACGUGUAGCGGUGAAGUGCGUAGAGAUGUGGAGGAACACCAGUGGCGAAGGCGGCUUUCUGGUCUGUAACUGACGCUGAGGCGCGAAAGCGUGGGGAGCAAACAGGAUUAGAUACCCUGGUAGUCCACGCCGUAAACGAUGAGUGCUAAGUGUUAGGGGGUUUCCGCCCCCCUUAGUGCUGCAGCUAACGCAUUAAGCACUCCGCCCUGGGAGUACGGCCGCAAGGCUG
rnacentral:rRNA from 1 species